rnacentral:lncRNA from 1 species
UUUUCAAAGUAAAUCAGACAGAACAGAUCAAUAGCUCUCUCUAUUAUUUGCCUGACCUUUGCCUGCUCUGUUUUCUGUCUAAUUCUGCAGACCCAAGGUGAACUAUCCCGCGACCUGCCACCUAUAGGCUGUUAAAGACAAUCAGAAAAGUGAGUUUUUCUAUUAACUUCACUUAUAGUCACUGUCAUUGUUACAAACGCCAUAGGCUUUGGUAAUGUUGACUGCAAAAAUUUGCAUCAAUGCAUUGUUUCUGCUUCGGGUUUCUGCUUCAUUUUUUCUGCAGUACCAUAUAUGAACUACUGGGUGCAGUGUCGCUUCACCUUUUACAUUGUGAAGAAGAGUUGCACAACAGAAGAAGAACCAACCUAAAGCCUCAAAAGUUUGGGACCAUUUCACUGAAAACUUUUACAACUCACCUGAGACCAUCCCUUCUCGGACCAGAUGAUCGGAGCGCCUCGUUCCUGUCUCCAUUGAAUAUCAGAGCUUUCAUCGUUGGAGAGUGGGUCGAUUCGGCAAGAGAAGCUUAAGAGAAUGAGGAAACGCAGCAAACCACUGACAUUCAACACCUUCUCAGUUGUGGCGCUCCAGGAAAAAGACGUGAGUCUGUCCUGACAGCCUUGAUGUCCUCAGGUGUCUUUGUCCCUUUGCUCAUUCAAUGUAAAGAAUACCAGCGAUGAAAAUGAAUUAAAACAUUUUUGAUUCUAGCUUAGUAGUGCAUAAUAAAGGAUAUCUCAUCUCAUAAUGAUUGCA